rnacentral:rRNA from 1 species
AUUGAACGCUGGCGGCAGGCUUAACACAUGCAAGUCGAGCGGAGAUGAGGUGCUUGCACCUUAUCUUAGCGGCGGACGGGUGAGUAAUGCUUAGGAAUCUGCCUAUUAGUGGGGGACAACAUUCCGAAAGGAAUGCUAAUACCGCAUACGUCCUACGGGAGAAAGCAGGGGAUCUUCGGACCUUGCGCUACUAGAUGAGCCUAAGUCGGAUUAGCUAGUUGGUGGGGUAAAGGCCUACCAAGGCGACGAUCUGUAGCGGGUCUGAGAGGAAGAUCCGCCACAAUGGGACUGAGACACGGCACAGGCUCCAACGGGAGGCAGCAGGGGGGAAUAUUGGACAAUGGGGGGAACCCUGAUCCAGCCAUGCCGCGUGUGUGAAGAAGGCCUUAUGGUUGUAAAGCACUUUAAGCGAGGAGGAGGCUACUGAGACUAAUACUCUUGGAUAGUGGACGUUACUCGCAGAAUAAGCACCGGCUAACUCUGUGCCAGCCGCCGCCGUAAGAC